UUAAAGAGUUCUAUAACUCCCAAACCCAUGUGAACAUACCUAACGUUGCCUCGGCAGGUCGCACCUACCUUGUAGCACCCUACCCUGUAGGGCCUACCCGGGAGAUGCGGGUAAGCCUGCCGGCGGCCCACCAAACUCUGUUUAAUAUUGAAUUCUGAACAUAUAACUAAAUAAGUUAAAACUUUCAACAACGGAUCUCUUGGUUCUGGCAUCGAUGAAGAACGCAGCGAAAUGCGAUAAGUAAUGUGAAUUGCAGAAUUCAGUGAAUCAUCGAAUCUUUGAACGCAUAUUGCGCCCAUUAGUAUUCUAGUGGGCAGGACCGUUCGAGCGUCAUUUCGACCCUUAAGCCUUAGUUGCUUAGUGUUGGGAGCCUACGGCAACGUAGCUCCUCAAAGUUAGUGGCGGAGUUGGUUCACACUCUAGACGUAGUAAUUUUUUAUCUCGCCUAUUAGUUGGACUGAUCCCCUGCCGUAAAACCCCCAACUUAUCAAGGUUGACCUCGAAUCGGUUCAGACAAACUCGCUAAAUUGAAGCAUCUUAGUCAGCGAAGGAAAAGAAACCAACAGGGAUUGCCCUAGUAACGGCGAGUGAAGCGGCAACAGCUCAAAUUUGAAAUCUGGCCCUCGGGUCCGAGUUGUAAUUUGUAGAGGAUGCUUUUGG
rnacentral:rRNA from 1 species